rnacentral:rRNA from 1 species
AGUGAACGCUGGCGGUAGGCCUAACACAUGCAAGUCGAACGGCAGCACAGUAAGAGCUUGCUCUUACGGGUGGCGAGUGGCGGACGGGUGAGGAAUACAUCGGAAUCUACUUUUUCGUGGGGGAUAACGUAGGGAAACUUACGCUAAUACCGCAUACGACCUACGGGUGAAAGCAGGGGAUCUUCGGACCUUGCGCGAUUGAAUGAGCCGAUGUCGGAUUAGCUAGUUGGCGGGGUAAAGGCCCACCAAGGCGACGAUCCGUAGCUGGUCUGAGAGGAUGAUCGGCCACACUGGAACUGAGACACGGUCCAGACUCCUACGGGAGGCAGCAGUGGGGAAUAUUGGACAAUGGGCGCAAGCCUGAUCCAGCCAUACCGCGUGGGUGAAGAAGGCCUUCGGGUUUUAAAGCCCUUUUGUUGGGAAAGAAAAGCAGCAGGUUAAUACCCCGCUGUUCUGACGGUACCCAAAGAAUAAGCACCGGCUAACUUCGUG